GCCAGACUCCUACGGGAGGCAGCAGUGGGGGAUAUUGUACAAUGGGGGGAACCCUGAUGCAGCGACGCCGCGUGGGUGAAGGAGCGUUUCGGCGCGUAAAGCCCUAUCGGCAGGGAAGAAGGAGGACGGUACCUGACUAAGAAGCCCCGGCUAACUACGUGCCAGCAGCCGCGGUAAUACGUAGGGGGCAAGCGUUAUCCGGAUUUACUGGGUGUAAAGGGGGCGCAGACGGCAGCGCAAGCCAGGAGUGAAAGCCCGGGGCCCAACCCCGGGACUGCUCUUGGAACUGCGCGGCUGGAGUGCAGGAGGGGCAGGCGGAAUUCCUAGUGUAGCGGUGAAAUGCGUAGAUAUUAGGAGGAACACCAGUGGCGAAGGCGGCCUGCUGGACGAUGACUGACGUUGAGGCUCGAAAGCGUGGGGAGCAAACAGGAUUAGAUACCCUUGUAC
rnacentral:rRNA from 1 species